rnacentral:rRNA from 1 species
UACGUAGGGGGCAAGCGUUGUCCGGAUUUAUUGGGCGUAAAGAGCGUGUAGGCGGCCAGGUAGGUCGGUUUGUGAAAACUGGAGGCUCAACCUCCAGACGUCGACCGAAACCAUCUGGCUAGAGUCCGGAAGAGGAGAGUGGAAUUCCUGGUGUAGCGGUGAAAUGCGCAGAUAUCAGGAAGAACACCGAUGGCGAAGGCAGGUCUCUGGGCCAUAA